rnacentral:rRNA from 1 species
GACGAACGCUGGCGGCGUGCUUAACACAUGCAAGUCGAACGAAGAGCGAUGGAAGCUUGCUUCUAUCAAUCUUAGUGGCGAACGGGUGAGUAACGCGUAAUCAACCUGCCCUUCAGAGGGGGACAACAGUUGGAAACGACUGCUAAUACCGCAUACGAUCCGACCUCGGCAUCGAGGAUGGAUGAAAGGUGGCCUCUAUUUAUAAGCUAUCACUGAAGGAGGGGAUUGCGUCUGAUUAGCUAGUUGGAGGGGUAACGGCCCACCAAGGCAAUGAUCAGUAGCCGGUCUGAGAGGAUGAACGGCCACAUUGGGACUGAGACACGGCCCAGACUCCUACGGGAGGCAGCAGUGGGGAAUCUUCCGCAAUGGACGAAAGUCUGACGGAGCAACGCCGCGUGAGGGAUGACGGCCUUCGGGUUGUAAAGCUCUGUUAAUCGGGACGAAAGGUCUUCUUGCGAAUAGUUAGAGGAAUUGACGGUACCGGAAGAGAAAGCCACGGCUAACUACGUG